ensembl:misc_RNA Y_RNA Y RNA
GGCUGGUCUAAGCGCAGAGGUGUUUACAACUAAUUGAUGACAAACAGUUACAGAUUCCUUUGUUCCUCCUCCACUCCCACUGCUUUACCUGACUAGCCUAAA